rnacentral:rRNA from 1 species
UAGAGUUUGAUCAUGGCUCAGGAUGAACGCUAGCGACAGGCUUAACACAUGCAAGUCGAGGGGCAGCGGGGAGGUAGCAAUACUUCCGCCGGCGACCGGCGCACGGGUGAGUAGCACGUAUGGAACCUGCCCGUAGCAGGGGGAUAAGCGGAAGAAAUUCCGUCUAAUACCGCGUAAUAACUCCGAGAGGCAUCUCAUGGGGUUUAAAGGGUGACACCGGCUACGGAUGGCCAUGCGGCGCAUUAGCUAGUUGGCGGGGUAACGGCCCACCAAGGCGACGAUGCGUAGGGGUUCUGAGAGGAAGGUCCCCCACACUGGUACUGAGACACGGACCAGACUCCUACGGGAGGCAGCAGUGAGGAAUAUUGGUCAAUGGGCGCGAGCCUGAACCAGCCAAGUCGCGUGAGGGAAGACGGUCCUAUGGAUUGUAAACCUCUUUUGUCGGGGAGCAAAAGACGCCACGUGUGGCGUUCCGAGAGUACCCGAAGAAAAAGCAUCGGCUAACUCCGUGCCAGCAGCCGCGGUAAUACGGAGGAUGCGAGCGUUAUCCGGAUUUAUUGGGUUUAAAGGGUGCGUAGGCGGAUCGUUAAGUCAGUGGUCAAAUUGAGGGGCUCAACCCCUUCCCGCCAUUGAAACUGGCGUUCUUGAGUGGAAGAGAAGUAUGCGGAAUGCGUGGUGUAGCGGUGAAAUGCAUAGAUAUCACGCAGAACCCCGAUUGCGAAGGCAGCAUGCCGGCUUCCGACUGACGCUGAAGCACGAAAGCGUGGGGAUCGAACAGGAUUAGAUACCCUGGUAGUCCACGCGGUAAACGAUGAGCGCUAGGUGUCCGGGGGGAAUGGCCCCUGGGUGCCACAGCGAAAGCGUUAAGCGCUCCACCUGGGGAGUACGCCGGCAACGGUGAAACUCAAAGGAAUUGACGGGGGCCCGCACAAGCGGAGGAACAUGUGGUUUAAUUCGAUGAUACGCGAGGAACCUUACCCGGGCUCAAACGUUGCAGGAAGGGUGUCUGAAAGGAUGCCCGUCUACGGACCUGCGACGAGGUGCUGCAUGGUUGUCGUCAGCUCGUGCCGUGAGGUGUCGGCUUAAGUGCCAUAACGAGCGCAACCCCUACCGCCAGUUGCCAACAGGCAAAGCUGGGGACUCUGGCGGGACUGCCGGCGCAAGCUGCGAGGAAGGCGGGGAUGACGUCAAAUCAGCACGGCCCUUACGUCCGGGGCGACACACGUGUUACAAUGGCAGGUACAGCGGGAAGCCACCUGGCGACAGGGAGCGGAACCCGAAAGCCUGUCUCAGUUCGGAUUGGAGUCUGCAACCCGACUCCAUGAAGCUGGAUUCGCUAGUAAUCGCGCAUCAGCCACGGCGCGGUGAAUACGUUCCCGGGCCUUGUACACACCGCCCGUCAAGCCAUGGGAGUCGGGAGUGCCUGAAGUCUGUGACCCAACCGAAAGGAGGGAGCAGCCGAAGGCAGGUCGGAUGACUGGGGUGAAGUCGUAACAAGGUAACCGUAA